GGGCCCGCACAAGCAGCGGAGCAUGUGGUUUAAUUCGAAGCAACGCGAAGAACCUUACCAGGACUUGACAUCCUCUGCAUUACUCGUAACUGAGGAAAUCCUUCGGGACAGAGAGACAGGUGGUGCA
rnacentral:rRNA from 1 species